AUGGCGACAUCUGGUGGUAUCCAUGGUGACAUCAGGUGGUAUCCAUGGCGACAUCAGGUGGUAUCCAUGGUGACAUCCUCCGGUGUCUCGACUCCACAGAAGUCCAUGAUCACAUUAUCAGACGUCUCUUCCCACGGGGUUACAGCCAAUCAGAAGGCAUUAUCAGACGUCUCUUCCCACAGGGUUACAGCCAAUCAGAAGGCAUUAUCAGACGUCUCUUCCCACGGGGUUACAGCCAAUCAGAAGGCAUUAUCAGACGUCUCCUCCCACGGGGUUACAGCCAAUCAGAAGGCAUUAUCAGACGUCUCCUCCCACGGGGUUACAGCCAAUCAGAAGGCAUUAUCAGACGUCUCCUCCCACGGGGUUACAGCCAAUCAGAAGGCAUUAUCAGACGUCUCUUCCCACGGGGUUACAGCCAAUCAGAAGGCAUUAUCAGACGUCUCUUCCCACGGGGUUACAGCCAAUCAGAAGGCAUUAUCAGACGUCUCUUCCCACGGGGUUACAGCCAAUCAGAAGGCAUUAUCAGACGUCUCUUCCCACGGGGUUACAGCCAAUCAGAAGGCAUUAUCAGACGCCUCCUCCCACGGGGUUACAGCCAAUCAGAAGGCAUUAUCAGACGUCUCCUCCCACGGGGUUACAGCCAAUCAGAAGGCAUUAUCAGACGUCUCUUCCCACGGGGUUACAGCCAAUCAGAAGGCAUUAUCAGACGUCUCUUCCCACAGGGUUACAGCCAAUCAGAAGGCAUUAUCAGACGUCUCUUCCCACGGGGUUACAGCCAAUCAGAAGGCAUUAUCAGACGUCUCUUCCCACGGGGUUACAGCCAAUCAGAAGGCAUUAUCAGACGUCUCUUCCCACGGGGUUACAGCCAAUCAGAAGGCAUUAUCAGACGUCUCCUCCCACGGGGUUACAGCCAAUCAGAAGGCAUUAUCAGACGUCUCUUCCCACGGGGUUACAGCCAAUCAGAAGGCAUUAUCAGACGUCUCUUCCCACGGGGUUACAGCCAAUCAGAAGGCAUUAUCAGACGUCUCCUCCCACAGGGUUACAGCCAAUCAGAAGGCAUUAUCAGACGUCUCCUCCCACGGGGUUACAGCCAAUCAGAAGGCUCAGAGCGGUGCGGACGUAGAAAAUAAAGCACGGCGGGCUAGAGGGGCGGGGCUAGAGGGGCGGGGCUAG
rnacentral:lncRNA from 1 species